AGAGUUUGAUCCUGGCUCAGGACGAACGCUGGCGGCGCGCCUAACACAUGCAAGUCGAACGAGCGAGAGAGAGCUUGCUUUCUCGAGCGAGUGGCGAACGGGUGAGUAACGCGUGAGGAACCUGCCUCAAAGAGGGGGACAACAGUUGGAAACGACUGCUAAUACCGCAUAAGCCCACGGCUCGGCAUCGAGCAGAGGGAAAAGGAGCAAUCCGCUUUGAGAUGGCCUCGCGUCCGAUUAGCUAGUUGGUGAGGUAACGGCCCACCAAGGCGACGAUCGGUAGCCGGACUGAGAGGUUGAACGGCCACAUUGGGACUGAGACACGGCCCAGACUCCUACGGGAGGCAGCAGUGGGGAAUAUUGCACAAUGGGGGAAACCCUGAUGCAGCGACGCCGCGUGGAGGAAGAAGGUCUUCGGAUUGUAAACUCCUGUUGUUGAGGAAGAUAAUGACGGUACUCAACAAGGAAGUGACGGCUAACUACGUGCCAGCAGCCGCGGUAAAACGUAGGUCACAAGCGUUGUCCGGAAUUACUGGGUGUAAAGGGAGCGCAGGCGGGAAGACAAGUUGGAAGUGAAAUCUAUGGGCUCAACCCAUAAACUGCUUUCAAAACUGUUUUUCUUGAGUAGUGCAGAGGUAGGCGGAAUUCCCGGUGUAGCGGUGGAAUGCGUAGAUAUCGGGAGGAACACCAGUGGCGAAGGCGGCCUACUGGGCACCAACUGACGCUGAGGCUCGAAAGUGUGGGUAGCAAACAGGAUUAGAUACCCUGGUAGUCCACACCGUAAACGAUGAUUACUAGGUGUUGGAGGAUUGACCCCUUCAGUGCCGCAGUUAACACAAUAAGUAAUCCACCUGGGGAGUACGACCGCAAGGUUGAAACUCAAAGGAAUUGACGGGGGCCCGCACAAGCAGUGGAGUAUGUGGUUUAAUUCGACGCAACGCGAAGAACCUUACCAAGUCUUGACAUCCUGCGACGCACAUAGAAAUAUGUGUUUCCUUCGGGACGCAGAGACAGGUGGUGCAUGGUUGUCGUCAGCUCGUGUCGUGAGAUGUUGGGUUAAG
rnacentral:rRNA from 1 species